rnacentral:rRNA from 1 species
CGCGGCCUAUCAGCUUGUUGGUGAGGUAACGGCUCACCAAGGCGACGACGGGUAGCUGGUCUGAGAGGACGAUCAGCCACACUGGAACUGAGACACGGUCCAGACACCUACGGGUGACAGCAGUCGAGAAUCAUUCACAAUGGACGAAAGUCUGAUGGUGCAACGCCGCGUGGAGGAUGAAGGCCCUAGGGUCGUAAACUCCUGUCAUCAGGGAGUAAGCCUUGGUCGUUAAUAGCUUCCAAGGUUGAUAGUACCUGAAGAGGAAGGGACGGCUAACUUCGUGCCAGCAGCCGCGGUAAUACGAAGGUCCCAAGCGUUGUUCGGAAUCACUGGGCGUAAAGAGUAUGUAGGCGGCAAGGUAAGUCAGAUGUGAAAGCCCGGGGCUCAACCUCGGAACUGCAUCCGAUACUGCUUUGCUAGAGUAAUGGAGGGGUGACUGGAAUUCUCGGUGUAGCAGUGAAAUGCGUAGAUAUCGAGAGGAACACUCGUGGCGAAAGCGAGUCACUGGACAUUUACUGACGCUGAGAUACGAAGGCCAGGGUAGCGAAAGGGAUUAGAUACCCCUGUAGUCCUGGCAGUAAACGGUGCGCGCUUGGUGUGGGAGGAUUCGACCCCUUCCGUGCCGGAGCUAACGCGUUAAGCGCCCCGCCUGGGGAGUACGG